rnacentral:lncRNA from 1 species
UUCCUUGGGGAUGACUAGCCUAAUAUUCCAAGAUUUCCUGGGGGGCUCAAGGCUCAAGACUUGGGCAUUUCCUCUAAGACAUGCCCACACAUCUCCAAGGAAAAUGCUAUAUGUUCUCUUUCUCUACCUUUCCACCCCACCUCCACCUGGACGAUCCUUUGACUGCUGCAGUUACCGUGACUAGCUAGCUCCUCCAGUUCUCCCAGCAGAGCUGUUCAAGGAAAAUAACACUCUAGGAAGCCAUUUGGCCUCCACAUGCCCUCAGCUGAACUACAGGUCUGGGUAGGGAAGGCAAGAUGCCCCAGAGACGUCACCCGGGGGAAUGGCAGGGCAGGCAUCGGAAUGGGUGCCACGGCAUCUCCCGGCACUCUCUCUAUCCUGUAGUCCCCAAGCUUGUCCUCAGAAUGUCAACCAAUAAUCUGGAGCUGUUUUUCCACGUAAGUGAGGCCCCGGAGGCCCCCUACCAGCCCACUAGUGCUUCUGCUCUGCCUGGAUUAGGCAGAAUCAGAAACCCAGCCCCAGUGCGAGUCACCCCCAACUCACUGCUAGUCAUCCUUUACAUAGCAGUCUUGAUGAUGAAAAUGCCAUUGUACCCCCAGAAUUACAUCACGCUGGGAGUGUUUUCUUAAGCACGCUAUCCCUAGGGCCUCAUUUCCACUCUCAAGCUCCAUGCCCCAUUGUCAUUUAGAAAAGUUGGAAACUAUCAGGAGAAUAACUCAAUAAGUCAUUCUGCAUCUCAUCACUGUCAAAGGACAGGAACCCCUGGAAAAAACAAAUAUAGGAGAGCAUGGAUCUGGGAAUUGAAGAAGCUGCUAUAAUCUUGGGCAGCCGCUACCUAUGAGCAUGCACCCCUUCAGAUCAGGCUUGGCAUAGGAUGACAAUACUUGCCAAGCACCAUGACUGUUAAUGUAAUUUCUUAAGACUCUGUCUUCCUUACACUGCUCCAGGCCCUCAGGGGCCCAUGACUAUGCAGAAAUGACCUUGGCCCUGGAGGCCUGGAGUAGGGUCAUUUGCUGAGUAGGAAAUGACAAGGGAAGGCAGGUGAGCCAUGCCGACGCAGCCGUUCAUAAGCCAGGCUCUCUCAGAUGCCUUCCCUCCGCUCUCCCACUCUGCACUCCUUCAUUAACCCUGCUCUCAUUGAAAUUCCUAGAACCACCUUAAUCCUCAUGCAAAAAAAAAAAAAAAAA